rnacentral:rRNA from 1 species
GAUGAACGCUCGCUGCAGGCUUAACACAUGCAAGUCGCGGGGACGCACGGGGGUUGCUUGCCACCCCUGAUGGCGACCGGCGCACGGGUGAGUAACGCGUAUCCAACCUGCCCUUCACCACUGGAUAACCCGGCGAAAGUCUGACUAAUACCGUUUUUUUUCCAUUGACGGCAUCCUAUUUGGACGAAAUGCUUCGCGGAGUUAUGAAGGGAUUGCGUCCGAUUAGCUUGACGGCUGGGUUACGGCCCACCGUGGCUACGAUCGGUAGGGGUUCUGAGAGGAAGGUACCCCACACUGGAGCUGAGACACGGUCCAGACUGCUACGGGAGGGAGGAGUGAGGAAUAUUAGUCAAUGGGCGUAAGCCUGAAACAGCCAAGUAGGGUGCAGGAGGACGGGGCUAUGGGUUGUAAACUGCUUUUAAGCGGGGAUAAAGUAGCCAACGAGUGGGCUUUUGCAGGUACCGAAUGAAUAAGGACCGGCUAAUUCCGUG